UGCUUAGGUCACCCAGGCUUGAUCACCCCUGCAGGAUCAGACAUCCCUCAUGGAUUAAAAUAGAUCUGAAAAUAUAACUUCUUACAACAGCAGAAAAAUAGCAAGGAAAGAAGAGCUUGAGUCAAAAUACAACUUUAAAGUGCUCUUUUUCUUGGAACAUCUGACAUUUAAAACUCAUCAUCUCUUGCCACUUGAGCCUCAAUGUUGACCUCAGAGAUUUUAUAGAAGAUACAGGAUUUAGAGGGCAAAAAAGACGCAAGAAGGCAGGGUGAUUGAGAGUGAAGAGUCGAGGUAUAACUUGGGCUUGAGGUUGUUAAUUUCAGACCAAGAGCAGGAAGGAUGUAUCAAAAAGGAAAAGGAUGCAUGACUGACUAAAAGGCAAGGGCUGAGUGGUGAUGAGAGCAGCGAUGUUACUGCUGCAAAGAUGACGAAGAUGGAUGAGGCUGAAGGGCAGAGCCCGGAAGAGUGAGGAAGGGACAUUUCUACAGUGAUACCUGGGACCUAUUCAGUGCAUGAGUAACUUCAAAGUAUCAUUAAUGAAAAAUAAAAACAGCAUCUUCCCAGCAUAUCAAAUUUGUUUGCCUUUGUGGUCUUUUUCAGGAGAAUGGACAGAUUUAGAGAGACAGGAGUCCAUCAAGGACCCCUAUAAAUAACUCUGAAGCUGCUGCUCGUGUAGAACUGCUGAAGCAUGGCUGCCAAACACGCUUUUCCUUUUGGGAGAAAGGAGAAGUGUUCGGCAUUGGCAGAUCUUUUUGUUUUCUUUUUGGCCACACCGUGCAGCAUGCGGGAUCUCACUUCUCUGACUGGGGAUCGGAACCCUUGCCUCCCGCAGUCGAAAGUGCAGAGUCUUAACCGGUGGGCGCCGGGAAAGUCCCAGCGUCCGCAGACCUCAUCUUGACUUUAACCGAGUUAGGACACCUUCCUUCAAGAUGGUUCUCCUUCCCAGUCGAAAAACACUAGAGACCUGGGCCCAGGAUGUUGGCCCACGGGGGCGCAGAUUUUCAUUCUUCACGUCCUUUCUCUCAUUAACCUGGUGGACUUUCUGGAAUUUAGAAAUUCUUGCAGCAGCAGGACCUGAAGCUCGUCACAGCAGGCCUCCCCACGGGAUGCUUACCCUCUCAGGACUGGCUCCCGGUGACAAAGCCCUCUGUUCCAAGGAACCACUGGCUGUUGGUGGGUUCUGAGCUGUGGAUGUUCGUUGCUACAAAGUACAAAGUGGAGGCUUUCUUCUGGGAGUCUGUUUAAAAAAAUUUUUUUUUUUUUUGCUCUGUUUUUAAGAGACAUUCAGUAGCUACAAUUCUUGGCCACGUCAUAAGGGUAGACAGUAGACAGUCAGGCACUUCCAAAAGGUCUUACCUGCCGUGUUGAAGUGUUUGGCCACAGGAGAAUGAGGGAUGCGGCCGUCGUGUUGCUGCCCACAGCCUGCGUAUCUGUUCCUUUUCACCCCACUGUGGUCCCUUCCUGAGCCUGGACAGGACGAAUGGCUGUGGUUCUAAGGCCUCUCAGAGCCUCGCUUGUUCCCUUGUCAACGACAAAGGCAUGAUUUCUCAUUUUACAGGAAUUCCUUUUAUUAUCCUGAUAUGGAAGAUUGGUGUUCAAGAGAGGGACGUUUCUUCACAUGAAAGUAAAACCAAACUCAGUUGAAGUUAUCAUUAACGCAUGGUUCUGAAACGGAGACAAAAGACGUCCGGGUGUUUUUAAAAGUUCGGGUGUCUAAUAUACAAGGUACUGGAUAUUUUUUAUAGUAAUAGCCAUCCUGUACAAAGUAGACUAAGAUUCUAUGGAGAGUCCUUUAAAUCUCUGUAGAACGAGCCUCUAGAAUUCCGACGUAUUUGAAAACAAAGACUCUGAUAUUAACAACAGGACUCUGCUGGCUGAUUCCACUUUAAAUGGAUGACUGGUCCUGACUUCAGUACCAUAUGCCUUUGUACCUCAUCACACCGUCGUCUCUCCUGUGUCAGUGAAUGACUCUCAGGUUGACAGUGCUGACAAUGACUGCAAAAAAUGUGCUGUUGAGUUUGGCCGUAAUGUCCUAAUUUUCAUACUCAUGGCUCUCAGGAUGUAGUUGAGGGCGCACAUCCAUCCUUCGUGUCGUGAGAGCUCUGUCUUUAACCGCUUAAUGAAAUAGAAAGCAAACUUUCCAAGAGAGGCUGAACAGCAACACAUCCUGCAGAUGAAAUAAGG
rnacentral:lncRNA from 1 species